rnacentral:rRNA from 1 species
UACGUAGGGUGCGAGCGUUAAUCGGAAUUACUGGGCGUAAAGCGUGCGUAGGCGGUUCGUUAAGUUCGUUGUGAAAGCCCCGGGCUCAACCUGGGAAUGGCAAUGGAAACUGGCGGGCUUGAGUAUGGCAGAGGGGGGUGGAAUUCCGCGUGUAGCAGUGAAAUGCGUAGAGAUGCGGAGGAACACCGAUGGCGAAGGCAGCUCGCUGGGACGUGACUGACGCUGAGACGCGAAAGCGUGGGGAGCAAACAGG